UCUUCCCUCUGGCGGCGUGCCUAAUACAUGCAAGUCGAGCGAACAGAUAAGGAGCUUGCUCCUUUGACGUUAGCGGCGGACGGGUGAGUAACACGUGGGUAACCUAACUAUAAGACUGGGAUAACUUCGGGAAACCGGAGCUAAUACCGGAUAAUAUUUCGAACCGCAUGGUUCGAUAGUGAAAGAUGGUUUUGCUAUCACUUAUAGAUGGACCCGCGCCGUAUUAGCUAGUUGGUAAGGUAACGGCUUACCAAGGCGACGAUACGUAGCCGACCUGAGAGGGUGAUCGGCCACACUGGAACUGAGACACGGUCCAGACUCCUACGGGAGGCAGCAGUAGGGAAUCUUCCGAAAUGGGCGAAAGCCUGACGGAGCAACGCCGCGUGAGUGAUGAAGGUCUUCGGAUCGUAAAACUCUGUUAUUAGGGAAGAACAUACGUGUAAGUAACUGUGCACGUCUUGACGGUACCUAAUCAGAAAGCCACGGCUAACUACGUG
rnacentral:rRNA from 1 species